rnacentral:rRNA from 1 species
CAGGGAAUCUUGCGCAAUGGACGGGAGUCCGACGCAGCGACGCCGCGUGGGUGAAGACGGCCUUCGGGUUGUAAAGCCCUUUUCUGGGGGAAGAGAGAGGACGGUACUCCAGGAAUAAGUGUCGGCUAACUGCGUGCCAGCAGCCGCGGUAAUACGUAGGACACGAGCGUUAUCCGGAUUUACUGGGCGUAAAGCGCCUGUAGGCGGUUCUUCAAGUCGUUUGUGAAAGCCCUGGGCUCAACCUGGGGAGGCCAAGCGAUACUGGAGGACUUGAGGGUGACAGAGGGGAGUGGAAUUUCCGGUGUAGCGGUAAAAUGCGCAGAUAUCGGGAGGAACACCAGUGGCGAAGGCGGCUCCCUGGGCCACCCCUGACGCUGAGAGGCGAAAGCUAGGGGAGCAAACAG